AGAGUUUGAUCAUGGCUCAGGAUGAACGCUAGCGGCAGGCCUAACACAUGCAAGUCGAGGGGUAACAUAGAGAAGCUUGCUUUUCUGAUGACGACCGGCGCACGGGUGCGUAACGCGUAUGCAACCUACCUCUUACUGGAGGAUAGCCCGAAGAAAUUCGGAUUAACCCUCCAUAGUAUUAUCAUUUCGCAUGAUUUUGAUAAUUAAAGGUUACGGUAAGAGAUGGGCAUGCGUCCCAUUAGCUAGAUGGUAAGGUAACGGCUUACCAUGGCAACGAUGGGUAGGGGGCCUGAGAGGAUGAUCCCCCACACUGGUACUGAGACACGGACCAGACUCCUACGGGAGGCAGCAGUGAGGAAUAUUGGUCAAUGGAGGCAACUCUGAACCAGCCAUGCCGCGUGCAGGAAGAAUGCCCUAUGGGUUGUAAACUGC
rnacentral:rRNA from 1 species